UUGCCUACUGCCUUCGGUCGAGAAUGUUCAGGUGACCGUUUAGUCGCCGUACUAGCAUGCACACUUAUGGUUGGUCCCAAACGAUCCUUGGCAGAUACUCGCGGUAAUGACUCACUGACAGACAUCGGUUGUCCUUCGGGUGUAGGUGUUCUACUCUUUCCUAUGAAAAAUGAAUAGAAUAAAACACACUCUGUGAUUGAAAAAUACUCAAGACACUAAAACAGCCCUCCUUCUAGCGCUAAUGUUAACGCCAAGAUCUUUAUCCACGUCCCAAUCACGAAAGACGUCCUGAUCCUGCACAGUAAACACGACAAACACCACAAGCUUGACGGUCGGACCGCCGGGGGAUAGCUCAGGCGUGAGAGUAAGUAUGUCUGUUCACAA
rnacentral:lncRNA from 1 species